GUGCACGUCUGUGUAGAAACAGCUACACUUUGAUCUUUGCCAACAUCACUCAGUCCCAACUUUGAAAAAGAAAAUCCUUUUUCAUUAACAUCCAACUGGCUUUAAGGAGGUCAAACUCAAGAUUUCCUUUUACCAACUGAGAAUCUUCCAGUUUAGCCUUUGACUAGAAGGCUCUCUGGGAAACCUUUCCCUCUGAGAAAUCUAGUGAGUAAAUUCCUGCCAUGGUGUCAUGUUCAUGGAUUUCACACUGUCCUUCUGCGCCCUGUCCAGCAGCCCUCCGAGGAGAGAGCCAGACUUCUGGACCACGAGUGUCUUUCCCUCCUCUGGCUGCUUAGUCAUCUCCCAAGUCAUUUGGCAGUUGUCUGUGGCCCCUUCAAAAUGUUUCCAUUUAUGGUUAGAAUUUGGUCUUCCCAGUUUGGUCACACAGAUGGGAAAACUUAAAUGAAAGACAGCAUCACAGAGCUUCUCUCAAGAGCAGGCAGAGGAAGAGGCUGGAGCUGGUAGCAGAAGGGGCUCCACGGUGACUGUGACCAAACAGACCACAGCACUGCUGAGGGGGUGGCCAGGGGAAGGGCCCACCGCCCACCAGGAGGUCUGCCUGCGGCUCUGCUCCUCCCUGGCACACAUCAUGGACUCCCAUUAUACAUGGAACACGUGCCUGGUGGGGAUCGAUGCCACCAUGGGGCCUGGGAUUAUUUGCAUCUUUGCUGGAAAGAGCCUUCACACCAACAUGAAACUUCAAGGACGCUAGAACGUCAGCGCCUGCCUGAGCGCCCCCAUCCUUCAGUGUGUCUGUGGACAGGGCUUGCGGUUCUAUGAAGAUAUGGCAGAAAGUAUUUUGGAGGAGAAAAGCAAUCCAGAACUGUCUGCAGGUCCUGCUGCCAUGGCCCUCUUCACUGGAUGCUGGCUCUUCAACCACAUAUGUAAACUCAGGGUAAAUCUUUCUCCCUUCAUCUGGCUGUGAAGGAAUUCUGACAGAAGCGUACCUCUCGGACAGGGUCCAUCUCAGCUCUAACAUGCCUGAAAGCAGUGAACCGCUUAAACAGAGACUUCCUUCAAAAACACUGAAUAAAGAAAAUCCCUGGACUUAAUAAAAAUUGCUGCCAUUCGAAAACAAAGAGACACGAGGUGCUGGUUCAUGUCCUUCAUCAGGCAGAUGCCAAGAUAGGAUUAGCUGUGCAGAUGUCAUGGGGAAACAUCUGUGAAAGACAAAGGGGAGGGAGCUGGGAAGGCAUGGGGGAGAAAGGAGGAUGGGCAGGAAGUCUGGGACUGCUGCACAGGCCAUGGAAGGUUCUGGAGCCCAAGUCACCCCUUCGUGGCGUCCUGUGUGUUGCAGGAGUGACCUGCGUUAGUGUCCCCCCAGCUGAGUCUUGGGCAGGAGCAUCUCCUGUGAAGUGUGGCCCACGUGCACAUGGUGGUCCAAGAAGGGCACCACUGGGGCUGUCACUCACCUCUGCUACCCCAGCUGGCACUUCGUGGCUGCUGGCUUUGCACUGCACGGAUCCACUUCUCCACUCAGGCCUGGCGAGCAGCUCCUCUGGGAUUCCCACAGGCCUCUCUUCCAG
ensembl:lncRNA